GUGUCAGCAGCCGCGGUAAAACGUAGGAGACAAACGUUAUCCGGAGUUACUGGGCGUAAAGGGCGUGCAGGUGGUCUGUUAAGUCUGGCGUGAAAGCUCUCGGCUAAACCGGGAGAGGUCGUUGGAUACUGGCGGACUAGAGGACGGUAGAGGCGUGUGGAAUUCCGGGUGUAGUGGUGAAAUGCGUAGAGAUCCGGAGGAACACCAGUGGCGAAGGCGACACGCUGGGCCGUACCUGACACUAAGACGCGACAGCAUGGGGAGCGAACGGGAUUAGAAACCCCGGUAGUCCAUGCCGUAAACGAUGCCAGCUAGAUGUUCAAGACGCGCAAGCGGCUGGGGUAUCGAAGCCAACGCGGUAAGCUGGCCGCCUGGGGAGUACGGUCGCAAGGCUAAA
rnacentral:rRNA from 1 species